rnacentral:tRNA from 1 species
UGGCGAUCAGAUCAUCACGCAGGUUUUCACGCUGAAGAACGAAUCGGCGAACAACCUGCUGCCGGUGCUGCGGCCGCUGAUUUCCCCGAACAACACCAUUGCCGCGUAUCCGGCGAACAAUACGCUGGUCGUCAC